rnacentral:tRNA from 1 species
GGGUGCGCGCCGGAGUUGGAGAGCCGGGGCAGACUGUAAAUCUGUUGGCUACGCCUGAGGUGGUCCGAAUCCACCCGCACCCACCA